rnacentral:rRNA from 1 species
AUGGUCCGGCGUCGGGGCCUCUGUGCGGCGCAGGCGGUGGUCCCAGGCGGUGUUGCUCCCCCGGGCUUGCCCCGAUCUGUCUCCGCCUGGGUGUGCUGCGGCAUGCACGGCUGGUUCUGGGCGGUUCCGUCUCAGAUCCGCUGGGGGCGUCCCUUUCCUGCACCUGCUGUAGCUCGGCUCCCCCUCUCGCUUGCAUGUGUACGGCGUGGGUGCCUUGGAGCUUCCCGUUCUGGUGUUGGCCGGCGUGGUGCCGGGCGAUGCUGUUGGUCACUACUUCUCCCGUCUAUCGACCUGUUGCGGUUGCGCAGGUCGGCAGGUCUUUGGCGUGCAGAUGGCAUUCAUGGAUGCGGCUUGCUCCCCACGCGGGGUGCGGCCGUGGGUGGUGAGGAGAUCCCCUUGUCCUGCUCUCAGCUUCGGUGGGCGCUUGUCUGUCGGGGUGGCGAGCUCCAUGGCUUUGCAGUGGCGGUCAUGGAUGCGGCUUCCUCCCACCCGGGAGGGCCGUGGCUUGUGGGGGUGGCUGUCUCUCUCUUUCAGGCGGGACUUCUUCGUCGUCAGUGUUCUUGUUGUUCGUUCUCGGAGUGCCCCCUCGUGUGUCUCUGCUUGGCGGUGCCCAGCGUCCUCGCCGGUGGCGCACAGGUGCCGUGGCGCUGUCUGGCCUCGCAUGACCUUUCGAAUGUACCCCAUGGCACAGGUGGUGUCGCGGCGUUGUGCAGUCUCGGAUGCGCGGCGCAUUUCGAUUGCGUCGACGGUGCAGUGUCCUGGUUUGGUUUGCUUGGCGAUGCCCUUCGACUCCGCCAGUGGCACAUAGGCGUCGUGGCGCUGUCUCGGCCUCGUGCGACCUUUCGAUUGUACCCCACGACACAGGUGGUGUCGCGGCGCUGUGCGGUCUCGGAUGCGUGGAGCUUUUGA